rnacentral:lncRNA from 1 species
CAACACAUGGUGCUGUUUCUCCCAUAGCCAGGAUUCACAGGUCCAGAAAUCAAGGGGUGGAAGUGGAAGUGGCACCACUCACCAUCACCCCUAGUGACCCACUAGCAAAAUUUUUGCUUCCUGUUCCUGUGACAUUAUGUUCUGCUGGCCUAGAGGUCUUAGUUCCAGAGGGAGGAAUGCUGCCACCUGGAGACACAAUAACGAUUUCAUUAAACUGGGAGUUAAGAUUGCCACCUGGACACUUUGGGCUCCUCCUACCUUAAAGUCAACAGGCUAAGAGGGGGUAACUGUGUUGACUGGGGUGAUUGACCUGGACUAUCAAGAUGAAAUCAGUAUACUACUCCACAAUGGAGGAUGGUCAGAGGAGGAUUGGUGAGCACCUGGAAGAUUGACAAGUCACUUCCGGCAGAGCAGGCAG